ACACUCUUGGCAUUCCAAGCCACCGUACCAACUUUCACUUCUUUCAACUUGCUGCUUCAGAGAGAGCAGUCAUCAAUAUCUUUGUUGAGGGUGAGAUGAUGAGAUGGUGAAAUUCGUACGCAAGCUAUGUUCCAAGUUUAUGGUUCCAGCAGCUCUGCAGUGCCAUGAGGAGCCUUGUGAAAUUGCCUUUAAAGAAAAGGCUAACCAUUUACCAGGAAGAAAGCUGAACAUUGGGUUCACAACCAGGGCUAAACUUAACAGAUUACUCGACGAGGGUGACAUCACACCACAGCAGGUGGAUUCAUUCCAUGAAGCUGUGUUGUGUUUCCUGACAAGUGCUGUGGACUAUGCACUUAAGAAGCUGCCACUGGAAGAGCCACUGAUCAA